rnacentral:rRNA from 1 species
UACAGAGGUCUCAAGCGUUGUUCGGAUUCAUUGGGCGUAAAGGGUGUGUAGGUGGCGCCGUAAGUCGGGUGUGAAAUUUCGGAGCUUAACUCCGAAACUGCAUUCGAUACUGCGGUGCUUGAGGACUGGAGAGGAGACUGGAAUUCAUGGUGUAGCAGUGAAAUGCGUAGAGAUCAUGAGGAAGACCAGUGGCGAAGGCAGGUCUCUGGACAGUUCCUGACACUGAGACACGAAGGCCAGGGGAGCAAACGGG